rnacentral:rRNA from 1 species
AUUGAACGCUGGCGGCAUGCCUUACACAUGCAAGUCGAACGGCAGGACGGGAGCAAUCCUGGUGGCGAGUGGCGAACAGGUGAGUAAUAUAUCGGAACGUGCCCAGUCGUGGGGGAUAACGCAGCGAAAGCUGUGCUAAUACCGCAUACGAUCUCUGGAUGAAAGCGGGGGACCGUAAGGCCUCGCGCGAUUGGAGCGGCCGAUAUCAGAUUAGCUAGUUGGUGGGGUAAAGGCCCACCAAGGCGACGAUCUGUAGCUGGUCUGAGAGGACGACCAGCCACACUGGAACUGAGACACGGUCCAGACUCCUACGGGAGGCAGCAGUGGGGAAUUUUGGACAAUGGGCGCAAGCCUGAUCCAGCAAUGCCGCGUGCAGGAUGAAGGCCUUCGGGUUGUAAACUGCUUUUGUACGGAACGAAACGGCGAGCUCUAAUAAAGUUUGCUAAUGACGGUACCGUAAGAAUAAGCACCGGCUAACUACGUGCCAGCCGCCGCAGUAA